GUGCCCGGUCCCAGGUGCAGUUGGUGGAGUCCGGAGGGGAUGUGAAAAAGCCCGGAGACUCUCUCCGCCUCUCCUGCAAAGCCUCCGGCUUCACCUUCAGCAGCUACUGGAUGAGCUGGGUCAGACAGGCCCCUGGGAAGGGACUGGAGUGGAUCGGGGAAAUACACCCAACUUCAACUACCAUCAACUACGCACAGCCCUUCAAGGGACGCUUCACCAUCUCCAGGGACAACCCCAACAACCUGCUGUAUCUGCAAAUGACCGGCCUGAAAUCCGAGGACACCGCCCGGUAUCACUGUGCGACAGACACAGUGCGGGAAAGCCGGGCUGAGCUCAGACAAAAACCUGCCCUCGCUGGCUAA